GAUGAACGCUAGCGGCAGGCCUAACACAUGCAAGUCGAGGGGUAACUAGAGUGAUAGCAAUAUUACUUUGGCUAGACCGGCGCACGGGUGCGUAACACGUAUGCAACCUACCUUAUACUGGGGAAUAACUUCGAGAAAUCGGCGCUAAUACCCCAUAACACUGCGGAGAGGCAUCUCUUUGCAGUUAAAGCUCCGGCGGUAUAAGAUGGGCAUGCGUCCAAUUAGCUAGUUGGUGAGGUAACGGCUCACCAAGGCUACGAUUGGUAGGGGUUCUGAGAGGAUGAUCCCCCGCACUGGUACUGAGACACGGACCAGACUCCUACGGGAGGCAGCAGUGAGGAAUAUUGCGCAAUGGACGAAAGUCUGACGCAGCCAUGCCGCGUGCAGGAUGACGGCCCUAUGGGUUGUAAACUGCUUUUGUACGGGAAUAAACCCUUCUACGUGUAGGAGGCUGAAGGUACCGUAAGAAUAAGCACCGGCUAACUCUGUGCCAGCAGCCGCAGUAA
rnacentral:rRNA from 1 species